rnacentral:rRNA from 1 species
UACAGAGGUCUCGAGCGUUGUUCGGAUUCAUUGGGCGUAAAGGGUGCGUAGGUGGCGCUGUAAGUCGGGUGUGAAAUCCUGAGGCUUAACCUCGGAACUGCAUUCGAUACUGCGGUGCUUGAGGACUGGAGAGGAGACUGGAAUUUACGGUGUAGCGGUGAAAUGCGUAGAUAUCGUAAGGAAGACCAGUGGCGAAGGCGGGUCUCUGGACAGUUCCUGACGCUGAGGCACGAAGGCCAGGGGAGCAAACGGG